rnacentral:rRNA from 1 species
UACGGGGGGGGCAAGCGUUGUUCGGAAUUACUGGGCGUAAAGGGCUCGUAGGCGGCCAACUAAGUCAUACGUGAAAUCCCUCGGCUUAACCGGGGAACUGCGUCUGAUACUGGAUGGCUUGAGAUUGGGAGAGGGAUGCGGAAUUCCAGGUGUAGCGGUGAAAUGCGUAGAUAUCUGGAGGAACACCGGUGGCGAAGGCGGCUAUCUGGACUGUGAUUGACGCUGAGGCGCGAAAGCGUGGGGAGCAAACAGG